rnacentral:rRNA from 1 species
GGGCCCGCACAAGCGGUGGAGCAUGUGGUUUAAUUCGAUGAUACGCGAGGAACCUUACCAGGGCUUAAAUGUAGUGGGACAGGUCUAGAGAUAGACCCUUCUUCGGACUCAUUACAAGGUGCUGCAUGGUUGUCGUCAGCUCGUGCCGUGAGGUGUCAGGUUAAGUCCUAUAACGAGCGCAACCCCUAUCGUUAGUUGCCAGCGAUUCAAGUCGGGGACUCUAACGGGACUGCCGGUGCAAACCGUGAGGAAGGUGGGGAUGACGUCAAAUCAUCACGGCCCUUACGUCCUGGGCUACACACGUGCUACAAUGGUCGGUACAGAGAGCAGCCACUACGCGAGUAGGAGCGAAUCUUCAAAGCCGAUCACAGUUCGGAUCGGAGUCUGCAACUCGACUCCGUGAAGCUGGAAUC